rnacentral:misc_RNA from 1 species
GUCAUUAUAUUUUUGGCAACAAGUUAAAGAGAAAUUUUUGUGAAAAUAAUUGAGAUGGGAAAGGGUGGUGACGUGGCUUUCGACCGUUGCCCACUGGGAAAUUUUUAGUCCCGCGGGACGCUCCGCAUGAUUCGAUUUCGAUGAGCAAUUUAGUAAAGUCACAUCUACCGGAACUCUUCUUUGCUACACGUGCCCUUUUCCUAUUCGUCUUAAAACUCUAAUAAGUACCAGAAACAAAGAGACAAAGAUAUUGGCAACUACAAGAAAUCGUACUAUUUUAUUUAAUUUAAAUCACCCCAUCACUGCACAUCGUCUUUGUUUCUUGUUCUACACUGUAUAUAUGGUAUGCACUGACCUAAUAGCAGAUUCAAGCGCGCACACACACAGAGAAAGAGAGAGAGAGAGGGGUGAAUCAAGACGUGAGCUCCAUUGAAAUGAAAGAGAAGGUUAUGGUAUAGGUUUAGCAGACGAAAACAAAAGAUAACAGAAGAACUAAAGCUUAACCAGAACACCCUAUUUGUUUUAGUUCAAAUCUUUGACUUACCAACUAACCAGCGGGAGUAGCGGAAAAUUUUACACCAAAUGAAUCUAACAGUUUGCUGCCACUUGAAGAAAAUAUUAGCUGUUAUGAAUUGUUUCAUCAGCUAAGUCCACCUUCUGUGAAACGAAAAAUAUUUGGAAAAUUCCUUGGCAUGCAUUCUUGAAUGUGCGUCACGUAAUUAAAUGCAUCCAAUUAUAAUCGAUUUGGACCAGACUGUUUAGGGGAAAAAAAUCAUGGUUAGCUGUCUCUAUUGCUCAACCUCAGCGUGGAAUCUCCCUCUCCCCUAUUAUGGGGAUAGAGAACAGGAUUGAAUUUCGAUUGGUUCAACCAAAAUGAGCAAAGAAUUUCAGCUAGUGGAGAAGGAGUGAGGGCAAACCCAAUAAAAUUUUAUUAUGUUGGACAUAGAUCACUUCACAAGCAAAUUAUUAACUUCUUAUACACUCUCUGCACCAUCCCCCUCAGCAUCUCAGCGGAACAUGCCCCGAAUCUUACAAGAAGAACAACUCCUUGAAAAAUCAAGCGAUCCUGUUCCCUAGUCCAUUUGUCUUCCCUGCAUGUGAGGAAAAAAUUUCACUUAGAGAAAGUUUAUUAUACAUGCAUAACUCUGUCGAAGUCAUUUAACUUGGAUGUAGAGGCGGCAUGUCAAAAACUUCAUGGGCAUAGCUGAUCAUCGUAAGCGAAGCUGCUUAAUCGCGCCAUUAUCAAUAUGUUUCUUUGUCAGAUGCAAUUUGAUUUCAUAAAUCUUUGGCCAUAGUUUGCCAGUAACUUCCCAGACUGAAGAGCAACCUCCGAACUGAUGAUUGAAAUAUAAAAAAUAGAGCAAAGGCAUCAUGUAAAAUACGUAUUCCGCUUCAGAAAGAGAAAGCUAACACGCUUCGCCAUAAAGGCCCGUUGACUCG